GGUGCUCAGCUCGCUGUGUGGAGAAAUGGUUAGAUUUUUGCUGGAUGACUAAACUGGCAGCUGUUCAGCUGUCCUCCCCACAAAGCUUUUUUAUUUUAUUUUCUUCCUACGCCAUUAUGCGCCAAAUGGAUUGUUCCACUGGAAGGAGUGCCUCCGGGGACACUGGAUAGUAUUCUCCAAAGCGGAUCACGGAGACUGGAUCCACUGUUUACUGACUGAAGGAAAUUCCUCUCGUCACAGGGAAGUUUUGGUAGAAAGAGAAGGCUUGUUACAAAGCAGAGAAACCCGUUUCCGAGGAAAUUGCAAGGGACUUGCAGCCUCGGUGAGUCAGUUUCAACAUAUAACUGGACUUCCCACUCUUGGCUGUUUCCUAAACUUCAGAUAGCAGAGAAAUACUUUUUCUGAAUUAAAACUGGUGGC
rnacentral:lncRNA from 1 species